GCACUCCAUGUUUCAUUGCUGUCAAUGCUGCUCACCUGCCUUUCACAAUCGUAGCGCAUCAGGGAUGAGGCUCUGCCACAGCCACGCUCCCAAUUACCACAAACUAUGUACCUCCAACCAUGAGCCACUCACAGCAAGCUCCUGGAGCCAGGACCUGUGGCCACUGAAGUGGGAGAGAGCUUUGCCGGAGACUUCAGUUGUGCAAGCUAUGUCCUCAAGUGAAUGCAAGUACACAUAAGGAGUCUUACAGCUCAUGCAAAUAGGGAGCUGCCUUUCCUGUAGAGAAGCAGUGGCUAAUUUGCCUCCAGGACAAGGAAAGCCUAGAGCCAGUAUCUCACACCCACCUUGCUGUCACAGCAAUGCCAUGUUUCUUGCUCCACAUGCCUCCCACACGAACGAUCUCACAAAGACCCCUGUGCCGAUGCAGCUUCUGUAUCAAAGCUGUGUUACCUACAAGCACUAGGAAUGUCUCUGCAAGGCACUGUGCUCUGCAGGUCUGCUACAAAUCUAAUGGAAAGAGGGAGAGCAGGGGGUGGGGAUGAUGCAGAGGAAGAACAAAGGAGCUGGAGCCUUUCCACCCUCUCUGCCAUCAGCACCAUCCUCCUCCUCAUGCUCACUGUGGACUGCACUGCAGCCUGUGCCCAUGCUGCAGUCACCAGCACAGCAGCUAGGGCUGGACCCGGGCUAUUGAAGCCUUGCUCACAGUCAUCAGCUUCCCUUCACAGCAACCACUCAUGAUGAACUGUCCCCACACCUCACACAAGUUUUAAGGGAAAAUUGUAAAGUCUAGAGACAGUUGAAGUAGUCCUGUGUGUGGUUGGGUUCUUCUGAUUUACCAAAUCAGCUUUGUUGGAGCCAACUCCAGCCACAUACAGCAGCUCCAUCGCAGAGGCAGUGUAGAAGGAACAUCUCCUAGACCUUCCCAGCCGCAGGAGCAGGAGGGCACUGAGUCUGGGUGGCACUCCUGACACGGCAGGCAGCCAUCUCUGUGCUUCCCGAGUGACACAACAGCCGUAUCCCUCCUGGGUGCAGCAGAAACGCUCUCUAACUUCCCUCUGAGCAUUUUAGAUGACGCUGUUUAGCAGCAACGUGAAUUCAGACCAUACUCCCGAUCCGAGGGAGUGAAGCACGCUGGAGGUGGCCCUCGGGGGCUUUUCUGAGCCGUAACAUCCAGCGAGUGAGCUCGAAAUGACGGAACCACGCAUCUCCUCCAGGGAGGACGGUCAAAGAAAUUCCGCGAAGCUGCUAGUCACUCUGCCUGUCUUCUUCUGCUUCGCAGUCUGAGAUGGAUGGUGUCUCCCAGCAAAGAAGACUGAGGGAGGGUGAGGGGCUGGGGCGGCUCUGGGGGCCGCAGCAUCCUCGAAGGGCGCUGACGGAGCGCGGCCGCCAGGGGGCGGCGCAGCCCCGCGGGACCGGCCCGGCCCAGCCCCGCCGUGUCCCCGCCCUCUGCUCCCUUCCCUUCCCUCUGCUCCCUUCCCUUCCCUCUGUUCCCCACCAUUUGCUCCCCGCCGCUGUACCAGCGCGCCCGUGACACGCUCCCGCCGGUAUCCUGACGAGCCAUGGUCACGGCACCCCCGCCUUGCUCCCGCGCUGGAAACGCCGGAGGUGGCGGGGAAGGAUCCUGCUGAUCUGGGGAGCGCUCAGCGGUGCUGGGUCCAGGUGAGUUUUCCAGGCAGUGUGCAGUGCCGACCCCAGCCAAGGAGGAUGGGACUCACGGAGAAAAUCUUAAGGCUCACUGAUCUAGAGAAGGCAAGAGAAGACGUGACAAUGUUUAAACAGGUGAAGGCUGCUACAAAGGGAAAGUUGUCCUCCAGUCCCACAGAGCAUCAGCUACUGGGCUUGGAUACGGGCAAACACCAGUUUAGGUCAGAUGCUUGAACAACGUUUCUAAUGCUCAAGGUUUUCUGUUUUGGGUGGUAGUGGUGAUUUUUUCUUUAUUACAAGUUCUUUAAAACCUGUUGUGACCUGGACAGACAUAUGGAAACAGCCCGGAACCUUCCCUGGCAAUCUGCUCAGGAGCUGAUUCAAAUGUUGCACUGGGUCUCUAUUUGCUACAAACUAGAAAUCACUGAAGACAUUCGAGCUCUUCUGGCUGAUGUCAUCAUUACUCCUUUCAAUUCUUCAGAAGCCUUAUGUAAAAAUAACUUGUUAAGAAAGAGAAAGAACAGGGCAGAGUGGAUGGAAGAUGAAGGCAGAAGGGAGGGAAGAAAAGAAGGAAAGACAGGAAGGAAGGGCAGGCAGAAGUGCACUUAACUUCCCCUCCUCGUUCUUAGUCCUGGAAAUUCCAAAAAUCCCUGGAAAUUCUUAUGCAUUAAAAGAGUGUCAUGUUCAUAAGGAGCCUUUCUGGCUCCUUACACAACAAACUUACUUUAGAUAUACUGUGCUGUGGCUGGUAACCAUUCCAUGAGGAUCAGUUACAGUAUAAAAAAGAAGUGCAUUUGAGUAGAGUUGAAUGAAGAAAUCCAGGAACCUCUACCAUGCCCUCUCUUCACUACUGGCAUUUGCCAUUGAUCUCAAAACAAUCCCACGUCAACAGCAUCAUUUAAAGAAGAUAUUCAAUUUAUUAAAUGUUAAGAACAUGAUUUACAUGUCACAUUAGGCUUCUCAGAAGACACCAGUGACUCAUCUUGCAAUUGCUAAUUAAUGGAGUAUUCAAUUACCACAACUCUCUCAUUCAUUACUCAGAGCAGAACACAAUUUACAGUCACUCAGGCUCUUGCAGAGACACCGCAGUUGUCAGAGGAAUCCCUGGCACAAUCCUGGCACAAGGGAACCUCUCAGACCUCCUGCUGGCAGAGGUCCUUGCUUUUGAUAAACUUCCUCCCAUUUCAGCCCUCCCUCUCCACUUUCAGAAGUGUUGUGCACCACAAACAAAGCUGAAAGGGCACAGGCAGAAUCUCCAGCCACAUUAUUUUGUGUCAGUAGAGAUCUGCAUCUUACUUUAGUCCUUGUAAAGGCAUGUUCAGCCAGCACAGCUCUUGCUGAGCCAGCAAAGGAAACACUGCCUGAAGUAAGUAUACACAAAAGUGCCGACACUGUUGACAUAAUCAGGGUGCAGCAUCACAAGCUAAAAUAAAAUCAGGCCAGCAAAGGUUCACACUAUUCCCAAAAGCACAGGGCUUGUCAAUCAGAUCAGAUCAGGUGAGGUAUUUCCUGCAGGCUAAGGCAGUGCUCCCAUGCUCUAACCAAAAAAUCAUUGAGCUUUUGCAUCUGGGAAGCUUGGGGAGAGGUCUGUAAUCUGUCAAGGGGUUCACAGAGUUUGAACAAAACACCAUUGGUGGAGUCGUAGGAGGAGCUGCAGUCACAAAAAUACUGAGCUGUCACUCAGUAUCAGUAUCAGCUUGAACCAAACACAUGACACUGCAAAUAGCUGGGGCUUGAGUCUAAGCCUGGCACACACUGAUAGCUGAGCAAAUCUGAGGAUAAAAUCUGUGAUCAGCUGUGUAAGGGACCCUACUGCAACUUGAUAUUCAGGCUGCUGAGCAUAAGGGCCUCUCAUGCUGCUUAGCCAAUGUUCACAGGGCUUUACCUGCUACAGGACAGCCCUAGGGAGGAUCUGGCACCACAGAAAGCCUGUGGCUGGGCAAGGCUGAUGACUGGAAAAGGUGGGAUUAGAAGCAGACUCAGAAGCAAGGAGCUGUGGUCAGGGGGAGCAGCUGCGUCUAGGGCUAAUGUCCUUGGAUGCCAAUAAAGCCAUCGGGCAUGCUCCUCAAAAGCAUCAAUCAACUUGUCCUGAUCUAGCAGAGUGUCCCAUCUUUCUUGGUGGCCUUCACUUAUCAGUUGUGGAGGGAAAAAA